rnacentral:rRNA from 1 species
UACAGAGGUCUCAAGCGUUGUUCGGAUUCAUUGGGCGUAAAGGGUGUGUAGGUGGCGCCGUAAGUCGGGUGUGAAAUUUCGGAGCUUAACUCCGAAACUGCAUUCGAUACUGCGGUGCUUGAGGACUGGAGAGGAGACUGGAAUUCAUGGUGUAGCAGUGAAAUGCGUAGAGAUCAUGAGGAAGACCAGUGGCGAAGGCGGGUCUCUGGACAGUUCCUGACACUGAGGCACGAAGGCCAGGGGAGCAAAACGGG